rnacentral:rRNA from 2 species
UUAAACUGAAGAGUUUGAUCAUGGCUCAGAUUGAACGCUGGCGGCAGGCCUAACACAUGCAAGUCGAGCGGUAACAGAUCCAGCUUGCUGGAUGCUGACGAGCGGCGGACGGGUGAGUAAUGCAUAGGAAUCUGCCCGAUAGUGGGGGAUAACCUGGGGAAACCCAGGCUAAUACCGCAUACGUCCUACGGGAGAAAGGGGGCUCCGGCUCCCGCUAUGGGAUGAGCCUAUGUCGGAUUAGCUAGUUGGUGAGGUAACGGCUCACCAAGGCGACGAUCCGUAGCUGGUCUGAGAGGAUGAUCAGCCACAUCGGGACUGAGACACGGCCCGAACUCCUACGGGAGGCAGCAGUGGGGAAUAUUGGACAAUGGGGGCAACCCUGAUCCAGCCAUGCCGCGUGUGUGAAGAAGGCCCUCGGGUUGUAAAGCACUUUCAGCGAGGAAGAACGCCUAGCGGUUAAUACCCGCUAGGAAAGACAUCACUCGCAGAAGAAGCACCGGCUAACUCCGUGCCAGCAGCCGCGGUAAUACGGAGGGUGCAAGCGUUAAUCGGAAUUACUGGGCGUAAAG